GUCACCAAGAGGCCUGACCCUGACGGGUGGGGGAGAUGCGCGUGUGGAGUAGCGGGAAGCGACUGAGGAGCGGGGACUGGGCAGCAUUUGAAUGGAUGCGGGUGCCGCUGGCACCCGGGAAGACGCUGGGGGCCGGCGCUGUAGAGCCGGGCAUGGGCUGGGAUGUGUUUGGAUUCCAAUCCGGGCCUGACACCAGUUCAGUGACCUCGGGAAGUUCCCCAACCCUCCGGGCCUGUUUCCUCCCUUUGAAGUGGCGACAGUAGUAGAACCGACCUCGUAGGCUCAUCGGGAGGUCCUGAUGGGAGAACCCAUGCAACUUGCCACCAUAGAGCCAGGCCCGCGGCGAUUGGCUCCUGGUGGGUAUUAAAGACGAGUCGGGAAAGAAGAGCAGGUUGAUAGACUGGAUGCUGCUAUGGUAAUCUGCCUCAGGAAAAUGCCGGACUGUUGUUUGCAAGCUGGUUAAGUGAGCAAAUCUUGGGAAGAUUUCAAGAGACGGGGUUUCACCAUGUUGCCCAGGCUGGUCUUGAACUCCUAGCCUCAAGUGAUCUGCCCACCUCGGCCUUCCAAAGUGCUGGGAUUACAGGUACGAGCCACCGCGCCGGGUCAGAUGUUGGUUUCUUAAGCAAAAACAGAAUCAGGAUAUCCCAGGAAGUCAACAGACAUCUAUCUGGUGGCCUCCUAGGUGAAAAUGCUCUCCUUCAACUUAGCAGGUGUGAGCAUUAUAAUUGUAACCUGUCCUUCUUCUUUUUUUUUUUUUUUUUUUUUUGAGAUGGAGUCUCGCUCUGUCACCCAGGCUGGAGUGGAGUGGCGCGAUCUCGACUCACUGCAAGCUCUGUCUCCCGGGUUCAUGCCAUUCUCCUGCCUCAGCCUCUUGAGUAACUGGGACUACAGGCACCCGCCACCAAGCCCGGCUUAUUUUUUGUAUUUUUAGUAGAGACAGGGUUUCACCGUGUUAGCCAGGAUGGUCUCAAUCUCCUGACCUCAUAAUCCACCCGCCUCGGCCUCCCAAAGUGCUGGGAUUACAGGCGUGAGCCACCGCGCCCGGCCAUGACCUGUCCUUCUAUCUGGACUUUAUAUUAUAAUGGUUUAUGUCUGCACCUAUGUCUCCAUUAGAAUGUAACCUCCUGGAGAAGAGAAUUCAUUUUCUUGUUUAUCUUUAUUUCCAUCUACAUCAUUAAGUGUUUCAUGUACAUGCCAAUGUUCAAAAACUUUUUUUAAUCAGUCAAACUUUGCUAAAGUGGUAGCUUGUCACUACUGCCGGGGUUUGUUGAAGUGUGCCACUCUGCAUGCCAGCUAAUAAUAAUAACAACAAUAGCAGUUAACCUGUGAAAACCGUGAACAGCAACUCCCCUGAGAGCCAAUGACAACUAGAGAUAUGGCAAGGAGUCAUGUUGGAAGAAUACUCAUCCAGACCCUUGCUGAAAUAGACCCAGAAAACGGCUCUGUGGAGUUACAUCCAGAAUGGAGCCUAUGGAGAACACCCAUAUUCAACAACAGUGGCUGACUUUCAGCACGCAGCAGACAGCCUCUGAGAGACUUUGUUCUGUGUCUCACCCUUCUCUUAUGCAGUGAGGAAAGGGAGACUCUCUAGGCCAGGCAGUAACCCUGAGAGCUUCCCUGACAGAGGAUUGCUGAGAGACUGAGCAGAUGCAAGAGGAAUGCCUCUGUUCUUCCCUCACUGCCUAUUUUGGCCAUCUCCCUGCUUUUAGACUUUGCAGUGGAGGGGCCAGAGGCUUGAGCCAAGCCAAAGAUACAGGAGAAGGAUCUGGAAUCCACCUCAGUGGGUAGGGCCAAUUAAGACAAGAGGGGUGUACACAGAGGGAAAUGUUCAGAAAACAAACCUCUUGCAAGAAUCUGGAGGUAUAACAGGGCCAAGUCUUCAUACUGAGUUGGUGGGGGUUUCACUUUAAUAUGUGAAUGUUGGAAAGAGGUGGGAUAUGGAAAGAAAUCACAAUACCUUGAUCACCAGCUUCUACCAGAGGGAUCUUGUCUCUUAUUGCUGCUUUUUUAUCUUCAGGAAACUCCCAAGCAUUCUGGAAGCUCUGCAUGUGAGUAAGAACCACUGCUGUUGCUGUUGCUGUAGCUGCCUGAAUCUAUGGCAAAAAGCCAGGAAAAAAAAAUUGCUUCACACCAUGUGCACCGACUCCCCUGGAGCUGGCACCGCCAGGGCGUCUGCAGAGCUAUGUCUGACAGUCCUGCCAUUUCCUAACUUCUCCUGUGUGGUCAUCCACCUACCUUUGGGAACCUCCAGUCAUUACUCACAGAGUUGGUCUCAUCCUGGGAACUCUCUCUUGCCUCUCCCAGUGGUUCAUUCUCCAAGUCUGAGUUAUUUGGUCAAAAAAACCCCCAAAUGCUUCAGACAACUCUCGCAAACUUGUCAUAGCUUUUGGUAUUCCAGGCCACAGAAGAGCCCAGGUGGGUACAUGGGCCCUCCAAGUGUUUGUUUCCUCACCACUGUGAGUGACAAAUAGGCUUCUUUAUCCUUAAAAUUGUCCAGCCAGUAACUGUUGGAACACACUGACCUAGAUCCACACAUGCAAACACACCUUUCAAGGGCAAAUGUUAAUUCACAAAGACAAUUGUAAAAUCUAAGCUAAAGUUCACAAAUGGGAGCUGCCUUUGAAGUGAAUUCAGCCCACAGACAUCUUUGAUUAGCACAGUGUGUUGUUGUUGUUGCUGUUUUAAAAUUUUUUUUUUUUUUUUUUGAGACAGCAUUUUGCUCUUGUUGCCAAGACUGGCGAUCUUGGCUCACCACAACCUCUGCCUCCUGGGUUCAAGCAAUUCUCCUGCCUCAGCCUCCCGAGUAGCUGGGAUUACAGGCAUGUGGCACCAUGCCUGGCUAAUUUUGUAUUUUUAGUGCAGACGGGGUUUCUCCAUGUUGGUCAGGCUGUUCUCGAACUCCUGACCUCAGGUGAUCCACCCACCUCGGCCUCCCAAAAUGCUGGGAUUACAGGCAUGAGCCACCAAGCCCGGCUCUUAAAAUUAUUUUUAAUGUCUUUAGAAGAGGCAUGCAAUUUCGGAUGGGUGCAGCACUCACGACUGUAAUCCCAGCACUUUGGGAGGCCGAGGUGGGUGGAUCACCUGAGGUCAGGAGUUGGAGACCAGCCUGGCCAACAUGGUGAAAACCCAUCUCUACUAAAAAUACAAAAAUUAGCUGGCCAUGGUGGCGGGCACCUGUAAUCCCAGCUACUUGGGAAGCUGAGGCAGGAGAAUUGCUUGAACCCAGGAGGCGGAGGUUGCAGUGAGCCUAGAUCACGCCAUUACACUGAAGCCUGGGCGACAAGAGCAAGAUUCCAUCUUAAAAAAAAAAAAAAAGAGGCAUGCAAUUUCCAUUCCCCACCCCCCACAGUCUCUACUCCUCCCUAUUAUAUCUAAUUGCUUCACCCAUGUAUAGUAUAGCCUGUCCUCUGAAAUAAUUGGAGUUUAAGAUCCCUGAAUCUAAACCUGUAAGCAGGAAAAUAGAUAUUUUCCUAAUGCCCUAUAAUACAUAAACAUGUUUCCUUUUUCUCCUUCUGCUUUUAUUUUUAUUUUUAUUUUUUUGAAAUGGAGUCUCACUCUGUUGCCCAGGCUGGAGUGCAGUGGUGCAAUUUCGGCUCACUGCAACCCCACCUCCCGACUUCAAGCAAUUCUUCUGCCUCAGCUUCCUGAGUAGCUGGGACUACAGGCACCUGCCACCUAGUAGAGGUAGGGUUUCACCAUGUUUGCCAGGCUGGUCUCAAACUCCCAACCUCAGGUGAUCCACCCAUCUCGGCCUCUGAAAGUGUUGGGAUUACAGGUGUGAGCCUGGCAAGAAGGAACAUUUAUGGGUGCUUGGGUGUAGUAGUUAAGAGUGGUUCCACAGAGGCCGGGCGCAGUGGCUCACACCUGUAAUCCCAGCACUCUGGGAGGCCAAGGUAGGCGGAUCGCCUGAGGUUGGGAGUUCGAGACCAGCCUGGACAACAUGGUGAAACAUGGUGAAACCCCGUCUCCACUACAAAUACAAAAACUUAGCUGGGCGUGGUGGCAGGCGCCUGUAAUCCCAACUACUCGGGAGGCUGAGGCAGGAGAAUCACUUGAACCCAGGAGGUGGAGGUUGCAGUGAGCCGAGAUUGUGCUAUAUAGCACUUCAGCCGGGAUGAAAGGAGUGAAACUCCGUCUCAAAAUAAAUAAAUAAACAAAUAUGGAAAGGGGGAUGGCUAGAAUGAACUCUGCAGUGCUGGAUCAGAAUUGGAAAUAUCAAUGGGAGCACAUAGUUUUAUAAAUUUGUGUGUGUGUGUGUAUGUGUGCGCAUAUGUGUGCAUUUGUGUAUUAGUGUGAUAGUCUGUCCUCUGAAAGGGCCUACAAGCCAUGAUACUCCAGUACAAAUUAGUACACCUAGAACCCAGAUUGUUCUAAAUACAAUUCUCCCCAAAGGAACCAGGGCUUUUUUUUUUUUUUUUUUGAGACAAGAGUUUUGCUCUUGUAACCCAGGCUGGAGUGCAAUGCCACAAUCUUGGCUCCUUGCAACCUCCGCUUCCAGAGUUCAAGCAAUUCUCCUGCCUCAGCCUCCCAAGUAGCUGGGAUUACAGGCGCCUGCACCCACGCCAGGCUAAUUUUUGUAUUUUUAGUAGAGACUGGUUUCACCAUGUUGGCCAGGCUGGUCUCAAACUCCUGAUCUCAGGUGAUCCACCCGCCUCAGCCUCCCAAAGUGCUGGGAUUACAGGCAUCAGCCACCGUGCCUGGCCUUUUUUUUUUUUUUUAAGACGGAGUCUCGCUCUGUUGCCAAGCUGGAGUGCAGCAGUGCGAUCUUGGCCACUGCAACCUCCGCCUCCCUGGUUCAACUGAUUCUCCUGCCUCAGGCUCCCGAGUAGCUGGGAUUCUGGGAUUACAGGUGCCUGCCACCAUGCCCAGCUAAUUUUUUUGUAUUUUUAGUAGAGACGGUGUUUCACCAUGUUGGCCAGGCUGGUCUCGAACUCCUGACCUCAGGUGAUCCACCCUCCUCGGCCUUCGAAAGUGCUGGGAUUACAGGCAUGAGCCAUGGCACCCGGCCAGAGGAAGAGGAUAUUUACAUAGUCUCAGAGUAUCUCCUCACAAGAUAUUUGUUAACUAUUAAGGGAAAAGUAAAGGCCGGGUGCAGUGGCUCAUGCCUGUAAUCCCAGCACUUUGGGAGGCUGAGGUAGGCAGAUCACGAGGUCAGGAGUUCAAGACCAGCCUGGCCAACAUGGUGAAACCCCCAUCUGUACUAAAAAUACAAAAAAAUUUAGCUGGUGUGAUGGUGGGCGCCUGUAAUCCCAGCUACUUGGGAGGCUGAGGCGGGAGAAUUGCUUGAACCCGGGAGGCAGAGGUUGCAGUGAGCUAAGACCAUGCCACUGCACUCCUGCCUGGGUGACAGAGCAAGACUCUGUCUCAGAAAAAAAAAAAAAAAGGAAAAAUAGUCCCUUUAAAGUGAAGAAACCUGGUAGACAUCCCCUUAACCAAGUAAUCAAAGUUAACUUCAACAGUAAUGGAACAAGUCAACUAAUAUUAUGUAGGGGUCACAACAUCACUUCUGUGCUAUUCCUGCUAAGAAUGCAUAACCUGAAUGUAAUCAUGAAGAAACAUCAGACAACCCAAGUUAGGGGACACUCUAUAAAACAACUGGCCUGUAACUCCUCAAAUAUGUCAAGGUUGUGAAAGACGAAGUGUGGAAAAUUCUAUUCCAGAUUGAAGGAGACUAAAGACACUUGACAACUGAACACAAUGUAUGAUAUAGAAUUUAUUUUAUCAUAAUGGACAUUAUUGGAACAUUUGAGCAAAUUCAAAUGAGGUCUGUAGGUUAGAAAAUAUUAUUGAAUCAAUAUUGAUUUCUUAAUUUUUAUAAUUGUGGUUAUGAAAGAGAAUAUCCUUGUUUUUAGAAAAUAUACACUGGCGGGGCGUGGUGGCUCACUCCUGUAAUCCCAGCACUUUGGGAGGCCGAGGCGGAGUUUGAGACCAGCCUGGCCAACAUAGUGAAACCCUGUCUCUACUAAAAAUACAAAAUUAGCUGGGCAUGGUGGCAUGUGCAUGUAGUCCCAGCUACCUGGAGGCUGAGGCAGGAGAAUAGCUGGAAUCCAGGAGGCAGAGGUUGCAGUGAGUUGAGAUCACGCCACUGCACUCCAGCCUGGGCGACAGAGCAAAACUCUGUCUCAAAAAAAAAAAAAAAACAAAGAAAAGAAAAUAUACACUGAAGUGCUUAAUGGAAAGGGGCAUCAUGUCUGUAAGUUAUUAUCAAACAGAAACAAGUUCAGAAAAAAAUUACGCACAUACACAUGCACAGAAAUACAGUGAGAGAGAGAGAGCAAGUAUGCAGUAGGUAUUAGCCUAGGUUGCUAGGAGAAUUAAAGUUAACAAGCAAUUAAUUCAUGACUAACACCAGAAACUUGGAGAAUAUGCCCAAUGCCCUUUUAUCAAGUGCCCAGUGCCAAUUUAUCAUUUAAGAUAGCACUCCACAUGGCAGAAAGACUUAAAUGCCAGUAAGUCACUCUGUAUGUUUGGGACAUCUGUAGAACACUUUUUUUUUUUUUUUUGAAAACUCCUCUAGCAAAAAAAUGUUUAAACUUUCAUCUUCACGUUGGGUGAUUGCAGUCAUAAAUUUCACACAAUGAUCCUGCUUGUAUCAUAGAAUAACCCAUUUUCUGAUGAACAGGUUGAAUCCAAAUAAAUUCCAAACACGUGUAUAAUGUAGAGUUAAAACAUUUUAGACUCAAAGCUCAAAGCUAAUUAAGAACCGGCAUGGGCCACAGUUUGAACCACCACCAACUUGUCUUUGCUCUGUUAUUGGUUUGCUGUCUUUGUCUGUUAUUCCAUAUCACUUGCUGGAAGGAAGCAGCCAUACUGAAAUACAAAUUUUGUUUGUUUCUUUUUUAAAAAAGGAAACAAAUAGAUGGUUUAUUCUAAGAAUGUACAGGAACUUAUAUUCUAAACGUCCAUAAAUGCAUAUUCUAGGGACUCUUAUCAUCUCAGAACCCUACUACAGAUUCUCUUUAAUCUUUUUAAACAUCCUGUUACAUAAAUUGCAGCUGUAUCUAUAGCAGGAAGAACAAUAAGAUAAUAAUUGGUCAAACAUCAAAAGCACUUGGGUGGGUCUUCCACAAACCUUUAGUCUUCUCUCCCACCAACACCAUGUUCUUAGAUUUUUUUUCCAACCACAUUAAUGUAUUUUUUGUUUGUUUGUUUCUUCUUUUUCCUUUCCCCUGAGUAAUUACUAUGAAUUUUUGCCAGGUCAAGAAUUCUUCCCAGAAACAAACCCCAAGUAUUAAAAAAAAUCAAACAAACAGUACCUGAAGAUAAGAUGUACUCUUUCCAGGCCCACCCCCUCCCUUUGAUUUCUUUCUCCAGAUUGAGUGGGUUUAAUUGGAAUUGCACGUCCUCAGCGUUUCAUGAAGGACAGAUUUUCUAUCUGACCUAUGACCUGCUAGGAAUUCCCUAUUAACUUUCAUGGGAUGAAUUUGGAAUUGUCCUUACCACUCAGUAUUUACUAAGUAAGAAAUCACACAAACUCUUAUGCAGGCUGUGAAUCUAAUGUAUGUAUACAUAUAGCAAGCAUUUCUUGAUGAUUAAUGUUAGAGUUAUGGUCGGGUACAGUGGCUUAUGCCUGUAAUCCCAGCACUUUGGAAGGCCCAGGUGGGUGAAUCACUUGAGGUCAGGAGUUCAAGACCAGCCUGGCCAAUAUGGUGAAACCCUGUCUCUACUAAAAAUACAAAAAUUAGCCAGGUGUGGUGGUGCAUGCCUGUAGUCACAGCUACUCAGGAGGCUGAAGCAGGAGAAUGGCUUGAACCCAGGAGGUGGAGGUUGCGGUGAGCCAAGAUUAUACCACGGCACUACAGCCUGGGUGAUAGGGCAAGAUUCUGUCUAAAAAAAAAAAAAAAAAAAGUUAGAGUUAGGAAGAGUUUUAGAGGUCAUUCAACUUGACGUCUUUUCCAUAACUUUUUUUGUCAAAUGGUUGCAAGCCAAAAACUCAGUUGUUAUAACAAGGAGCUCCAUAUGGUGUUGGGCAGCUCAAUCUAUUGCUGGACAGCUCUCAUCAUAACCCUUGCUUCUUCCUGUGGUUCUCUGGAGCCUCACAAAAUAUGUCUACCUCUCUUCCAUAUGACAACCCUUCACACACUGGUAGCUGCUAAUUUGUGCCAAUUAAGCUGUCACCAGGUCUCAUAAUGAUUUUUCAGAUCACAUUGGGUAACGCAUGAACAUCCAAAAGUUAAUGUUUAACUCUGGAAGGUAAGAUUAUGGUUAUGUUUUUACUUUCUUGUUUAUAUGUAAAUUCUAAGUUUCACAAUAAAUAUUUACUUUAAUAGUGAAAACAUUUGGCCGGGCAUGGUGGCUCACGCCUGUAAUCCCAGCACUUUGGGAAGCCAAGGCGGGAGGAUCACCAGGCCAGGGGUUUGAGACCAGCCUGGCCAACAAGGCAAAACCCUGUUUCUACUAAAAAUAUGAAAAUUAGCCAAGCGUGGUGGUGGGUGCCUGUAGUCCCAGCUACUCGGGAGGCUGAGGCAGGAGAAUCUCUUAAACCCUGGAGGCAGAGGUUGCAGUGAGCCGAGAUCAUGCCACUACACUCCAGCCUGGGCAACAGAGCGAGACUCCAUCUCAAAAUAAUAAUAAGAAGAAGAACAACAACAUUUUUAUUGAGCUUAUUCUAGAUGCCACUUCCUUUUAAAAAAGGAAACAAAUAGAUGGUUUGUUUUAAUUACUCUACAAUAACCCUGAGGGAUAGGCACUGUAAUUAUCCCCAUUGUACAGAUGAGGAAACUGGGGCAUAGAGGGAUUAAGUAAUUUUCCCAAGGCCGCAUAGCUAAGUAAGUGGCUGAUAUGAUAUUGGAACCCAGGUUUGCCUGAUUUUUAAGUAUUCCUCUUUUUUUUUUCUUUGAGACAAGGUCUCACUUCAUCACCCAGGCUGGAGUGCAGUGGUGUGAUCACUGCUCACUGCAGCCUAGAUUUCCUGGGCUCAAGUAGUCCUCCCACUUCAGCUUCCCAAGCAGAUGGGACCACAGGCACGAGCCACCAUACCCAGCUAAUUCUUUUUUUCUCUGUUAGAGAUAGGGUCUCCCUAUGUUGCCCAAGCUGCUAUCAAACUCCUGGGCUCAAAGGAUCCUCCCACUUCAGCCUCCCAAAUUGUUGGAGCCACCGUGCCUGGCCAGCCUCCCAAAGUGUUGGAGCCAGCUUCCUAAGGUGUGAGCCACCGUGCCUGGCUGACCAUUCCUCUUAUAAGAAAAACAAUUUAUUUAUUUUGGCAGCAACAAGUAGGGCGUUAUUUGUUUUGUUUUGUUUUUAGUGUGGUGUCCAGAAAUUAAUAUGCUAGAUUUGAUGUGAACAGCAUAAAGCACACUGGGAUUAUUAUGUCCUUUGAUUUGGUGACAGUAUAAUAUAUCAAUGCCCCUAAGACUGCAUUUGAUUUUUUACCUGUAAUACAAGAUUACCGGCUCAUACAGAGAUUACAAAAAAUCCUCUGGUUCUUAUUUUACUUUUUCUUUCUUCCUUGACUCUACCAUCCCCCAUCCUCAUCUACUACCCCAUCACCUGUCCCCUCCACCCCCAUAAUCAAUUUAUCAACCUAGUUGUUAAUAUUUUUCUCUAUGCUCAUAUAAUCACAUAUAGACAAAUACAAAUGCACACAUAUUCAAUGCAGUUUUUUUUGUCAUUUAAAAAGUGACUACUUUUUUGCCUUUUACUCAAAACAUUUUUGUGUGUAAAAUCCCUCUAAGUCAACUGGUAGAGUACAAAUUCAUUCCUCUUCAUGGAUGUGCCAAAAUGUGAAUGUACUAUAAUUUUUACAACCAUCACUCUAUUGAUGGACAUCCAUAGUAUUCACAAUUUGUGUGUGUGUGUUGCCACUUAAAAUGCUGCAACAAAUGUCCUUGUACAUACAUCCUAUAGUGUUUUUACUCCAAUAGUUUUAUUGAAACUAAUGGUUUUUUUCAGAGGAUAGAUUCCUAGGACUGUAAUUGCUGGGUCAAAGGGUAUAUAUAUAUUUUUAUUUAUUUUUUAUUUUAUUUUAUUUUUUGAGACCAAGUCUCGCUGUAUCGCCCAGGCUGGAGUGCAGUUGCACAAUCUUGGCUCACUGCAACCUCUGCCUCCCGGGCUCAAGUGAUUCUCCUGCCUCAGCCUCCUGAGUAGCUGGGAUUACAGGCACGCGCUAUCACGCCCGGCUAAUUUUUGUAUUUCUAGUAGAGACAGGGUUUCACCAUGUUGGCCAGGCUGGUCUCAAACUCCUGACCUCAGAUGAUCCACCCUCCUUGGCCUCCCAAAGUGCUGAGAUUACAGGCGUGAGCUGCCGCACCUGGCCAAAGGGUAUAUUUAAAAUAAUAGCUGUUGCCAGACUGCUUUCCAAAAAGGCUAUAACACUUCAUAUUUCAGUAGCAGCACAUGAAAAUACCCCUUGCCCCCAUCCCUGCAGCAAUAGGUGUUAUAGUGUAUUCAGUAGCCAUUCCAACAAAAACUGUGAAAGAAAAUCAAAAGAAACUACUUCAACAUAAUAAAAACUAUUUACCCCAAAUGAAAAGCAACUAUGAUACUAACUGGCAAAAUGUUAAAAUUCUUUUAUUCAAAAUCAGGAACUACACAGGAGUUUUUAGUUAAGGCUGGGUGCGGUGGUUCACACCUAUAAUCCCAGCACUUUGGGAGGCCAAGGUGGGUGGAUCACAAGGUCAGGAGAUUGAGACCAUCCUGGCUAACACGGUGAAACCCUGUCUCUACUAAAAAUACAAAAAAUUAGCCAGGCAUGGUGGUGGGUGCCUGUAGUACCAGCUAUUUGGGAGGCUGAGGCAGGAGAAUGGCGUGAACCUGGGAGGCGGAGCUUGCAGUGAGCUGAGAUUGCGCCAUUGCACUCCAACCUGGGUGACACAGCAAGACUCCAUCUCAAAAAAAAAAAAAAAGAGAGAAGGACUGUGUGGUAGAUAGAGCUCCCUCUCCCCUCUCCCCUCUCCCCUCUCCCCUCCCCCCUCCCCCUCUCCCCUCUCCCCUCUUUCCACGGUCUCCCUCUGAUGCCGAGCCGAAGCUGGACGGUACUGCUGCCAUCUCAGCUCACUGCAACCUCCCUGCCCGAUUCUCCUGCCUCAGCCUGCCGAGUGCCUGCGAUUGCAGGCGCGCGCCGCCACGCCUGACUGGUUUUCGUAUUUUUUUGGUGGAGACGGGGUUUCGAUGUGUCGGCUGGGCUGGUCUCCAGCUCCUAACCGCGAGUGAUCCGCCAGCCUCGGCCUCCCGAGGUGCCGGGAUUGCAGACGGAGUCUCGUUAACUCAGUGCUCAAUGGCGCCCAGGCUGGAGUGCAGUGGCGUGAUCUCGGCUCGCUACAACCACCUCCCAGCCGCCUGCCUUGGCCUCCCUAAGUGCCGAGAUUGCAGCCUCUGCCUGGCAGCCACCCCGUCUGGGAAGUGAGGAGCGUCUCCGCCUGACCGCCCAUCGUCUGGGAUGUGAGGAGCCCCUCUGCCUGGCUGCCCAGUCUGGAAAGUGAGGAGCGUCUCUGCCCGGCCGCCAUCCCAUCUAGGAAGUGAGGAGCGCCUCUUCCCGGCCGCCAUCACAUCUGGGAAGUGAGGAGCGUCUCCGCCUGACCGCCCAUCGUCUGGGAUGUGAGGAGCCCCUCUGCCUGGCUGCCCAGUCUGGAAAGUGAGGAGCGUCUCUGCCCGGCCGCCAUCACAUCUGGGAAGUGAGGAGCGUCUCUGCCCGGCCGCCCAUCGUCUGAGAUGUGGGGAGCACCUCUGCCCUGCCGCCCCGUCCGGGAUGUGAGGAGUGUCUCUGCCCGGCUGCCCUGUCUGAGAAGUGAGGAGACCCUCUGCCUGGCAACCGCCCCGUCUGAGAAGUGAGGAGCCCCUCCGCCUGGCAGCCACCCCGUCUGAGAAGCUGGAGUGUGGUGGCGUGAUCAUAGUUUGCUGUAACCUCCAACCCCUGGGCUCAAGUGAUCCUUCCACCUCAGCCUCCUGAGUAGCUAGGACUACGUAAGUGUACCACCCCACCUGGUCAUUUUUUAAACUUUUUGGAGAGAUAAGGUCUCUUAUGUUGUCCAGGCUAGUCUUGAACUCUUGGCCUCAAGGCGUCCUCCUGCCUUGGCCUCCCAGAGUGAUAAGAUUAGAGGUGUGAGCUGCAGCCACAGCGGAGACAGGGUCUCCCUCUGUUACUGAGGCUGGAGAUCAUGGCUCACUGCAACCUCAGCCUCCCAAGGCUCAAGUGAUCCUCCUGCCUCAGCCCCCGGAGUAGCAGGGACAACAGGUGCACACCACCAUACUGGGCUAAUUUUUGUAUUUUUAGUAGAAACGGGGUUUUGCCAUGUUGGCCAGGCUGGUCUCAGACUCUUGAGUUCAGGUAAUCCACUCACCUCAGCCUCCCAGGUGCAGGGAUUACUGGUUUGAGCCACCAUGCCUGGCCAGCUUUUGAAUUUUAAAACCUGCAGAUGGGUCAAACAAAACUUGAGCUAUAGCCAGGUGUCAUGUCUCAUGUGUAUCCCGGUGCUUUGGGAGGCUGAGGUGGGAGAAUCUCUUGAGGCCAGGAGCUUGAGGCUGCAGUGAGCUAUGAUCAUGCUACCGCACUCCAGUCCAGGUGACAGAGACCCUUGUCUCAAAAAAAAAAAAAAAAAAAAAGGCUAUGGCCGAUAGAUUUGGUAGAAUUGAUGACAAGUAAACAGGCUACCACAUCCUUAGACUACAUAAGGAUUCCCUGGUCUGGGAAUAGUAACAGUUUUUUUCAUUGUUACUUUUCCUAUGGUGCUGAUGGGAAUAAUAAAAGUUAAAUUGUUAAAUUGUUAAACUGAGUUAUAGAAAAAUAAAAUUAUAUUUCCUGUUAAAAAAAAAAAAAAAAAAAAAAAGGAGUUUUUAGUUAAAUAAAUCUCCCAAGUCUAUUUCACUCUUAACUUUAAAAUUAACAUAGAAUAGGCCAGGCACCGUGGCUUACGCCUGUAAUCCCAGCACUUUGGGAGGCCCAGGCAGGCAGAUCACCUGAGGUCAGGAGUUCGAGACCAGCCUGGCCAACAUGGUGAAAUCUUGUCUCUACUAAAAAUACAAAAUUAGCCGAGCGUGGUGGCACAUGCCUGUAAUCACAGCUACUUGGGAGGCUGAGGCAAAAGAAUCACUUGAACCUGGGAGGUGGAGGUUUCAGUGAGCUGAGAUCACACCAUGGCACUCCAGUCUGGGCAAUAAGAGCAAAACUCCAUCUAAAAAAAAAAAAUGAAUUAAUUAACAUAACACACAUAUAAAAUGUGCACAAAUCCUAAGUGCACACAUCAAUGAUCAAUGAAUUUUUGCAAAGUAAACAUAUUUAUAUAACUACCACAUAGGUCAAGAAAGUUAUUACCAGCACUUCAGAAGCCUAACUCAUGCCCCCUUCCUCCUUCCUAUAGAGAACCAGUCCUGACUUUUAACACCACUGAAUAGUUUUGCCUGGAUUGGAAACAUACAUACAUGUGGCAUCAUGCAAUCUAUACUCCUUUGUGUGUGUUUGGUUUAUUUCUUUCAACAUUUUCUUUGUGAAGUUUCUUCAUGUUUCUGAUAGCAGUAGUUUACUCACUUUCAUUGCUGUACAAUAGUUUAUUGCUUGAAUAAUAUACCACAAUUCAAUGUCCAUUCUGUUGUUGAUGAACUUUCAGGUCCUUCUGAAUCUGAAACCCAUCAUCCAAUAUUUUAGCCAUCAAUACUCCCAGCUUUGUGUCAUCAGAAAUUUGGAUGAUCACAACAUUUCUGAUACAAAUCAUUGACUUUUAACUGUUUGACAGGACCAGACAGACUUGUAUCAGCCAACUAGAGGUCUCCCUUCAGGUUAACCUUAAUACUAAUAAAUAUUAUUUGGACAAAAUUUAGUUAGCUAAAACUGUAGCUAUCUGUAGUAUCAUUCAAUGUACCUUUCUGCAUUUCAGAGGCCGAGAUAGGAGAAUCACUUGAAGCCAGGAGUUUGAGACCAGCCUGGACAACCUAGUGAGACCUCAUCUCCACAAAAAAUUUUAAAAAUUAGCCAGGUGUUGUGGUACAUGCCUGUAGUCUUAGCUACUUGGGAGGCUGUGGCAGGAGAAUCACUUGAGCCCAGGAGUUUGAGGCUACAGUGAGCUAUGAUCACACCUCCACAUUCCAGCCUGGGCAACAGAGCAAGAUCGCAUCUUUAAAAAAAAACAAAAAACAGGCUGGGCACAGUGGCUCACGCCUGUAAUCCCAGCACUUUGGGAGGCCGAGGUGGGCGGAUCAUGAGGUCAGGAGAUCGAGACCACCCUGGCUAACACGGUGAAACCCUGUCUCUACUAAAAAUACAAAAAAUUAGCCGGGCAUGGUGGUGAGCGCCUGUAGUCCUAGCUACUCGGGAGGCUGAGGCAGGAGAAUGGCGUGAACCCGGGAGGCAGAGCUUGCAGUGAGCCAAGAUCACACCACUGCAUUCCAGCCUGGGCAACAGAGCGAGACUCUGUCUCAAAAAAAAAAAAAAAAAAAAAAGCAAAAGAACCAUAAAUAUUUGUGGAGGUCUACUGUGUUCUAGGUACUGAGUGGGGUUAGAGAAGUGGAAAAAACAGACCACACCGAGACUCUCACGAAAUUUACAUUCUAGUUGAUGAGAUAGAUGUAAAUAAAAAUUCAGAUCAUUUUAUGAGGAAAGUGAAAUGGAGCAACACUAAACAGAAUAAUGAGGAGAAAGGCACACAACUUCUGAAGGCACUAGCCAUGUGAAGACUGAGAGUAUACCAUUCCAGGCAAGGGGAACAGCAAGCACAAAGUCCUUGAGGAAGGGAUGGGCUUAAAAAAACAAGGAGGGCAGUGUACCUAGAGCAAAAUGUGAACAAAGGCAAGUAGAGGAAAGGUAGACAGAAACUAGAUUAUGUAAGGUCUUGAAAUUCUUUUAUUUACUAACUUACUUUUUUAGAGAUGGGGUCUCCCUGUGUCACCUGGGCUAGGGUACAGUGGCUAUUCACAGGAGCAAUCAUAGCACACUGCAGCCUGGAACUCUGAAGCUCAAACAAUCCUCACCCCUCAGCUUCCCAAUAGCUGAGACUACAGACUCACACAAUGUGCUUGGCAAGGCCUUUUAUUCUAAAUGCAGUGGUGAGAUGGACAAGAGAUGUACCAUCCAUAUCCUCCUUUAAGGAAGGACUUGAUGCCCAGAUGUAAAGAGUGUAGUCACCAAACAGCCCUUUCAGAAUCUGCCCCAGACACAGAGAGCCUCACUGCUUAAGGAUAUACCCUUCUUAGAGCAGACCGCUUCUAGAGACUAAGUGAGCAGGGUUAUAAAGCCCCAGCUAUUUUAACCUAACAAUUCUGACGGAUAAUACUCGUUUUUCAGAGCUCCUUGAUAGGUUGGCCAAGGCUAUUUUUGGUCUGCAUCACGGAUUUCUUCCUCAGUCCAACUCAGAUUUCUCUUUCUUCCUUGUCACAGAUGUUAAACCUUAAUAACAUGUUGAAUCCCAAACUCCACCUCUGCAUCUGUGACAAACUUAACCUGUGACAAAUGGGAAGCCAUAAAAGGAUUUUUUUUUUUUUUUUUUUUUUGAGACAGAGUUUCACUCUUGUUGCCCAGGCUGGAGUGCAAUGGCAUGAUCUCAAUCUUGGCUCACCGCAACCUCCGCCUCCCAGGUUCAAGUGAUUCUCCUGCCUCAGCCUCCCUAGUAGCCUGCCUAGUAAUAGGCAUGUGCCACCAUGCCCGGCUAAUUUUGUAUUUUUAGUAGAGACGGGGUUUCUCCAUGUUGGUCAGGCUGGUCUUGAACUCCUGACCUCAGGCGAUCCACUCGCCUUGGCCUCCCAAAGUGCUGGGAUUACAGGCGUGAGCCACCGCACCCGGCUGCCAUUGAAGGAUUUUUAAGCAAAGAAUUCAAAUGGCCUGAUUUACAUUUUAGAUCACUCUAGCUGCUGUAUAGAGGAUGGACUGUGGGAAGUAAAAGUGAAAACAAGACCAGUAGCAGUAGCCCAAGGGAGAUGGUGGUGAUUUGAUCUAGGGAGGAGAAAGCGGGAAGUGGAUGGAUUUGGGAUAUAAUUUGGUUGUAGAAGUGAUAACUGCGCGGUGGCUCACGCCUGUAAUCCCAGCCCUUUGGGAGGCCGAGGCAGGCGGAUCACGAGGUCAGGAGAUCGAGACCAUCCUGGCUAACAUGGUGAAACCCCGUCUCUACUAAAAAUACAAAAAAUUAGCCAGGCGUGAUGGCGGGCGCCUGUAGUCCCACCUACUCGGGAGGCUGAGGCAGGAGAAUGGUGUGAACCGGGAGGCAGAGCUUGCAGUGAGCCUAGAUAGCGCCACUGCACUCCAGCCUGGGUGACAGAGCGAGACUCCAUCUCAAAAAAAAAAAAAAAGUGAUAACUGGUUCAUCCCAACCAUUUUGAUCAGUUACCUUGCAGAAAACAAAUUUAGUGUGUUGAAGGAAACCAAAAUAUUUCUCUCUAAAAUACUGGGGAUUUUAGUUUAAAAGCUUAAAACACAUGGGCACACCGCCCUUCCUAACUCUGCCUUCAUCCGCUCAGAAACAGCUCAGCGGUGCUAGAGGAUCCAGGAGCAGACUUUACUCUUCCCAUUAAUUUACCUUCCCACAUUUUCCUGCCUUUUGGAAGCCUAAAGAUACUCUUCUUUGUUUCAGCACUUCGUAAGAUUCAUGGCUCUGGCCGAGUGCGGUGGCUCACGCCUGUAAUCCCAGCACUUUGGGAGGCCUAGGCCGGUGGAUUGCUUGAGGCCAGGAGCUCGAAACCAGCCUGUCCAACAUGGCAUUACCCUGUCUCUACUAAAAAUACAAAAAUCAGCCGGGCGUGGUGGCACACACCUGUAACCCCAGCUACUCGGGAGGCUGAGGCACAAUAAUCACUUGAACCCAGGAGGUGAGGUUGCAGUGAGCCGAGAUCAUGCCACUGCACUCCAGCCUGGGCGACAGAGCAAGACUCUGUCAAAAAAAAAAAAAAAAAAAAAAAAAAAAAUUCAUGGUUCUUUGUUAAAAUACUAUUUAAACAAGGUCCCUAAGCCACUGCCUGGAGAGAGAAAUACUUUUGAACUGAGGCCUCUCCCACUUGAUGGGUACAGCAUGUUAAUAAACUUGUUUUUCUUUUGUUAAUCUGACGCUUGUUUUCAAGUGUCUCAACUAAGAACCUAAAAAGGGUAAAAAAAGAAAUGAUGUUUUCUCUCCAACAGUGUGUUUUUAUUUCUUUCAUCUACCUGUCCAGUAAUCAUUUUAAAAAAGAAAAUAGCAUUAGUUACUGCCUGUGUGAUGUGGCCCCUGCUUAUCUGCACUCUCCCUCCUGUUUACUGUUCCAGCCACCUCAGCUUUUUCUCUGUUCCUCUAGCAUGGCAAGCUUAUUCCUGCCUCAUGACUCUUUCACAUGGUGUUUUCAGAUUUUCUCUGUAGCACUCUGCACGCAUUGUCCACCUAAAUUCUAUUCAUCCCUCAGGUAGCAGUUUAAAUACUGUGUCCUCACAGAGGAUUUCUCUAGCACUGCCUCCUCUCCCGUGAAGCUAGUUCCUGUAAUUAUGGGCUCACAUAAAUCCCUGGGUUUUCUUUUUUGGCACUUAUCACAAGCUGUAAUUAUACCAUACGUUUUAUUAUUUGUCUUCCUCACCAGAGUUCCACAAGGGGCAGGAAUGUGCCUGUUUUGUUUUCUGCUUCAUCCCUUGUGUCUUGCACAGUAACUAUAACUCAGAAUUUGCGCAACAAAUAUUUGCUGAAUGAAAGAACUUGCCCGUAGUGGCCCCUUGUUAGUGCCUAGAGUCAAUUUCUUUACAUGCUUGUAAAACAUCUUUUGAUAAUCCAUGCCAAAAUGUUCUAGAGAUCAUUGAAAAUUUUCCUACUAGUUUUCAGAAUGUAAUUUUUUUCCACCUGGGGAACUUUUUUUUUUUUUUUUUUUUUUUUUUUUUUUUUGAGAUGGAGCCUCCACCGUGUCUCUACUAAAAAUACAAAAAAUCUCUCACUGAGUCUCACUCUGUCACCCAGGCUGGAGUGCAGUGUCAAGAUCUUGGCUCACUGCAACCUCCGCCUCCCAGGUUGAAGCAAUUCUCCUGCCUCAGCCUCCCAAGUAGCUGGGUCUACAGGUGCCAGCCACCAGGCCCGGCUAAGUUUUUGUAUUAUUAGUAGAGACGGGGUUUCACCAUGUUGGCCAGGCUGGUCUCGAACUCCUGACCUCGUGAUCCACCCGCCUUGGCCUCCCAAAGUGCUGGGAUUACAGGU